UGGCGGCAUGCCUUACACAUGCAAGUCGAACGGCAGCGCGGGGCAACCUGGCGGCGAGUGGCGAACGGGUGAGUAAUAUAUCGGAACAUACCCUAGAGUGGGGGAUAACGUAGCGAAAGUUACGCUAAUACCGCAUACGUCCUGAGGGAGAAAGCGGGGGAUUCGCAAGGACCUCGCGCUCAUGGAGCGGCCGAUGUCGGAUUAGCUAGUUGGCGGGGUAAGAGCCCACCAAGGCUACGAUCCGUAGCUGGUUUGAGAGAACGACCAGCCACACUGGGACUGAGACACGGCCCAGACUCCUACGGGAGGCAGCAGUGGGGAAUUUUGGACAAUGGGGGCAACCCUGAUCCAGCCAUUCCGCGUGAGUGAAGAAGGCCUUCGGGUUGUAAAGCUCUUUUGUUCGGGACGAAACGGUUAAGGCUAAUAAUCUUGACUACUGACGGUACCGGAAGAAUAAGCACCGGCUAACUACGUGCCAGCAGCCGCGGUAAUACGUAGGGUGCGAGCGUUAAUCGGAAUUACUGGGCGUAAAGCGUGCGCAGGCGGUUUUAUAAGCCAGAUGUGAAAGCCCCGGGCUCAACCUGGGAAUGGCAUUUGGGACUGUAAGGCUGGAGUAUGGCAGAGGAGACUAGAAUUCCUGGUGUAGCAGUGAAAUGCGUAGAUAUCAGGAGGAAUACCGAUGGCGAAGGCAGGUCUCUGGGCCAAUACUGACGCUCAUGCACGAAAGC
rnacentral:rRNA from 1 species